rnacentral:rRNA from 1 species
GUGCCAGCAGCCGCGGUAAUACGUAGGUGGCAAGCGUUGUCCGGAUUUAUUGGGCGUAAAGCGAGCGCAGGCGGUUUCUUAAGUCUGAUGUGAAAGCCCCCGGCUCAACCGGGGAGGGUCAUUGGAAACUGGGAGACUUGAGUGCAGAAGAGGAGAGUGGAAUUCCAUGUGUAGCGGUGAAAUGCGUAGAUAUAUGGAGGAACACCAGUGGCGAAGGCGGCUCUCUGGUCUGUAACUGACGCUGAGGCUCGAAAGCGUGGGGAGCGAACAGGAUUAGAUACCCUGGUAGUCCACGCCGUAAACGAUGAGUGCUAAGUGUUGGAGGGUUUCCGCCCUUCAGUGCUGCAGCAAACGCAUUAAGCACUCCGCCUGGGGAGUACGACCGCAAGGUUGAAACUCAAAGGAAUUGACGGGGGCCCGCACAAGCGGUGGAGCAUGUGGUUUAAUUCGAAGCAACGCGAAGAACCUUACCAGGUCUUGACAUCCUUUGACCACUCUAGAGAUAGAGCUUCCCCUUCGGGGGCAAAGUGACAGGUGGUGCAUGGUUGUCGUCAGCUCGUGUCGUGAGAUGUUGGGUUAAGUCCCGCAACGAGCGCAACCCUUAUUGUUAGUUGCCAUCAUUUAGUUGGGCACUCUAGCGAGACUGCCGGUGACAAACCGGAGGAAGGUGGGGAUGACGUCAAAUCAUCAUGCCCCUUAUGACCUGGGCUACACACGUGCUACA